rnacentral:lncRNA from 1 species
UUCUUCUGUGACUCAAUCAACUUCCAGAAUUUAAAUUAUUCUUUAAAUUGUUAGCGUAACUGUGGCAAUAAUAGCAGCAGAGAUGAUAAUGAGUAAUGUGAUAUAAAAGGAUUCUAAUGCAUUCAGCAAAGCCAAACUCAGCAAGACCUGAACAAACCCCAGAGGACACGGAGAGAACCAACCUAUAAUAUAGGUCAAUGUUUUCAUAUGUGGUAAAGCAUCAUGGCAUGAAUGAUCCCUGCCCUGCCUCUGGAAACACUUUACUGAAGGAAGAAGUGAAGGAGUGGGCCGAUUUUAUUCUACAUAUCUUCUUUGGGAUGUGCAGAAGGCCCUACAAUGCUAUCUGGAGACAUUGUGUGCCAGAAAUUGCCUUGAGAGAAUUUUCUUCUAUGCUUUAUCCUGAACUGUUUAUAUGGCUGUUCAACGCUCUUCCAGCAACUAUUAAAGGAAGCUUGUGCUCAUGCGGUGUCCUGUGAAUGUGACUUGAUGAACAUACCUACCAGAAAAUAAGCUGGGGUAAAGCAGAUGCUGCCCUGGAGAAAAUCCAGACUGUGUGAGAGUGGCAUUUUGCUUUGCUUUCCACAGAAAAAUUGUAGUUGCUCAGCUAUAAA